GGACACUUAAGGCUGGUCGUGUAACUGGAAUGCGCUUAGAGGACCAGGUAGCUCACGAUAAGAAACCCCUGCCACAAGCAGACCUGGGGCUUCUGGUUCUCAGGUGCUUUGCAGGUAUGCUGAUGGUGGUGAUGUGAGACCUGUACCACUCUGUGCUGAGAGGACAGAGAAGCCCGUGCCUGGGAGUGCCAGCCCCCUCUGAUGCGGCUCUCUCCUGUGGCUGUAUUAUACCCUUGACCUGUAACAAGGUGGUCUGAGUAUAAACGGAACUGUGAGUCCUUUCAGCAGUAGAACAUUUAAGGAGCAGAGCUGGGCUUCCUGUGUAAGAGGAAUCGCCAGUGAGGUCUGCUUGGGUCAUGUAACCAAGGGCUGCCUGCAGCGGGGAGGGGAAAGCGGCAGAAAGAAGGUGGAACCGUAGCCGUGCGUGCGUGCCGUGCGUGAGUGAUGAGGAGCUGCAGAUGGGUGGUAAGCGAACAUUGGAGCAGAGGUGCGCCUUCCGGGUCAGCGAAGAUCCCCACGCUGAGAAGAGCCAGACGUCAUGGAAUGAGGAGUCAAGUGAGCCUUAG
ensembl:lncRNA